GGAGGGAUGGCCGAGUGGUCGAAGGCGGCGGUCUUGAAAACCGUUGACCGAAAGGUCCGCGGGUUCGAAUCCUGCUCCCUCCGCCA
rnacentral:tRNA from 3 species